rnacentral:rRNA from 1 species
CCUACGGGGUGCUGCAGUGGGGAAUAUUGGGCAAUGGAGGAAACUCUGACCCAGCAACGCCGCGUGAAUGAUGAAGGUCUUCGGAUCGUAAAGUUCUUUUAUAAGGGAAGAAGGAUGUGACGGUACCUUAGGAAUAAGUUUCGGCUAACUACGUGCCAGCAGCCGCGGUAAUACGUGGGAGGAGAGCGUUAUCCGGAAUGACUGGGCGUAAAGGGUGCGUAGGCGGUUUGGCAAGUUAGUAGAGUAACUCCAUGGCUCAACAUUGGAACUACUACUAAAACUGUUGGACUUGAGUGCAGGAGAGGCAACUGGAAUUCCAGGUGGAGCAGUGGAAGGCGUAGAUAUUAGGAGGAACACCAGUGGCGAAGGCGGGUUGCUGGACUGUAACUGACGCUGAGGCACGAAAGCGUGGGGAGCAAACAGGAUUAGAUACCCCAGUAGUC